AGAUUGAACGCUGGCGGCAGGCCUAACACAUGCAAGUCGAGCGGCAGCACGGGUACUUGUACCUGGUGGCGAGCGGCGGACGGGUGAGUAAUGCCUAGGAAUCUGCCUGAUAGUGGGGGAUAACGCUCGGAAACGGACGCUAAUACCGCAUACGUCCUACGGGAGAAAGCAGGGGACCUUCGGGCCUUGCGCUAUCAGAUGAGCCUAGGUCGGAUUAGCUAGUUGGUGGGGUAAUGGCUCACCAAGGCGACGAUCCGUAACUGGUCUGAGAGGAUGAUCAGUCACACUGGAACUGAGACACGGUCCAGACUCCUACGGGAGGCAGCAGUGGGAAUAUUGGACAAUGGGCGAAAGCCUGAUCCAGCCAUGCCGCGUGUGUGAAGAAGGUCUUCGGAUUGUAAAGCACUUUAAGUUGGAGGAAGGCAGUUACCUAAUACGUAUCUGUUUUGACGUUACCGACAGAAUAAGACACCGGCUAAACUCUGUA
rnacentral:rRNA from 1 species